CCUUGACAGGUAUAGUCUGCCGAGGCAGCGACGCCUGUGUCCGUUCUAAGCCUGUGGUAUGUAUCUGUGUCACUGUGUUUCUGACCUGGGUUCAGGAGAUCUUGGAAAGCCAGCUAAGUCCCCAAGGGCAGGGGUAGCUCCACCCACCCUCCUGAAAUCUCAAUAAAGCCCACUGGAUGGCAGCAGCUGGCCGACAUCCUCCCUGUCCUGCACUCAGCUGCAUAGAGGGGGGCACAGUGUUGUGCAAUGGUGGCAAAGCCCCUGACCUGAGGAAUCCUCUAGACCAAAAAAGAUAACCUUUUUUGUAUCCUGGACUUCUCUGGCUAUCUGGUGACGCGCGUGGAUCUCUUCUCAGAACAAUGUUUUUAAAUGCAUAGAAUACACAGGAUUGCAAUAAAAACCAAUUCUGCUGAAUAGUUUUCAAAAUAUUCAUAGUUCCAGGUUCACAGACUUCCUGAGAUCUCUCUGUGGAUCUCAGAUUAAGAUCAUCUGCUUGAGGGCUCCUCCUGGGAUUUCUUCCAUAAUUCUCUAUUGGUCCAUCUAAUGGAGUCGGGGCUCACCAGCUUCAAAAACUGGCCCUGGGGUCACCCACCCACCCAAGGGCCACAUGCACGACAGCACACACACACACACACACACACACACACGCAUACACAAGUCACAGACCCAGGUACAGGCAGAGGGGAGCCCUGGGUGGUUUUUGAGGGGGUGUCUCUGCCCUUCCCCACUCCCAUCCCCCAACAACAUGCAGGCUGAGACGUCCCCAGAGGCCAACGGAUGAUUUUCUUCUUGGAAGGCUCUGCCUGGCAGUUUACUGUUAUGGCCACCAGCAAUCCUUGCCCUUCCGUGCUGGCUCUGUGAAAGCAUUCAGGUCUUGUUCCCUCCCUUCUUGAUAUUACCUCUUGUCUAAACAGGGAAAAUACUUGAACUCAGGUUCAUGGAAUCAAAAUUUAAUGCCCUUUCUGCAGUACUAUAGCGAGAGGUUUGGAAACCACAUCAUGAGAUGUUGAAAGAAUUGGAAAUAUAGCUGAGAGAAGACAGGGAAAACAUAAGGGCCACCUUCAAAUAUCUGGAGUGCCAUCUGGUAGAAGAGGGAUUUUACACACACACACACACACACACACACACACACACACACACACNNNNNNNNNNNNNNNNNNNNNNNNNNNNNNNNAAGUAAAUAUGCAUAUGUGU
rnacentral:lncRNA from 1 species